UGAGGUAGUAGGUUGUAUAGUUGAGAGUGACAGCCCUGGAGAUAACUGUACAGCCCACUAGCUUUCC
rnacentral:pre_miRNA from 1 species